CACAAAAUCCGUGCUGAUUACCGCCUCAGCCUACAGCAAGAAAGAAGUGCCAGUCCGAAAGGAUAGCGAACUAUCAAAUUCAGCUGGAAUCCGGUGCCGGGUCCAAUUUAGCAGAUUUUCUCCCACAUCCCUACUGCCAGGUUAGGUACAUCACUCCAGAAAAGAGAUGUAUGUUUUCAGGGUUGAGGGCUGUGAUGUUUCCUCACUGACAUCGAUAAGGAAUGCAAAGCAUCUGAUUUGGUCAUCCCUCUUGCCAGCCUGCUCCGAUGGUGGCCCUGUUUUAACAGCAGUGCUGGUGGCACUCACCACCCAAGUUUGCUACUAGAAGAAGUGCUUAGCGACCAUAUUUUAAAAGAAAUAGCAUCCAAUGGAGCUUGGAAAGGAAACAUUUGCUCCAGCCAUUAUACUAAGGCGGGAAGCGUCACCCUCUAGGUUUCUUCAUCUUUAACUGUUGCCUAAAAAUAAUUCCGUUGCAGUGGUGGGAACAGUAAAGUUGCACCUACCAAAUUUCUCUCAUCUACCCAACUCCUGAAGGCACAAGGGACAAAGAGCUGCUGCCAGCCAGGGCAGACCACGCUGAUAAGCACGGACCACCGGCCUGACUCAGUUUAAGGCAGCUUCCAACGUGCCAUCUGCUGAAGACCUUGAAUGUUGCCAUGUAGAUGUUGAAAAGUCUGCAGCCAGUGCGUAUAAUACCACUGUUUGGGGCACCCUAUAAAUGCUGUUAUUGAUGAGAGAGUAUGUCAAUUCAACACCAUGGACCCACUGUGAAAAUCGGCAAGGACAUUCAGGACUUCAUCUGAAGAAGCCUGGAUUCAGAGAGCUUCUUAGCAGGGGUGCUUCCUAAGCUCCUGAGGCAGCUGUCUCUCUGCCUAAUGGUAGGGCCAGCCCUGACGUACAUUUGUGUGUGUUCUAAUUAGAAAUGAAUGUAGGAUACAGCAUUUUUGUUUUGUUUUUGAACCUGAGAGAUGAAUUCCUUAAUUGCUUGCCUAUAUACGGGAGCUGGGGAUGGAGCUUGGGGUAUUGCUUGGGGAGGCGGGUGCUUGGAACACAAGCUCCUUUCCAAGAAACCUGGAGCAGAUGGUUUUCUCCAUGGUGACCAAAACGAGGACACACAGCUAGCAGGGGAUAUUCUGCCCUCCAAAACGAGCCGGCUGCAUACAGGCACACUCACAAAAGGCCUCCCAAAGUUUCCAAUGUGGCACUUUGGUCGUUAAGAGUAAUUAUCUCUCUGCACAGAGAUAAAGGCUUGUUUGCAGUGUUAUUAAGUCCCCGCGUCCCCGAGGAGAAAUUCAACACUUUUGCAAAGAGCUCUCCAAAAGCAGCCAACUUCAGCGAGAAGAAAAGGCGGGGAAGGGGGGAAACAGGGAAAGCCUGUGUUUUCACAGCAUAGUGCUUGGAAGAAUGGUAGAGCUGAAACAACCCUGUGCGCCCAAAAAAUCUGGAUUGGCAAAUCUUUGUUGCAAGAGUUCUUUGGUGGUGCAAACAAUUUUGGUUGCAUCUAGGCUGGCUAUGACAUUCUGAUAUAGAAGGUAAAAAAAAACAUAGUGUCCCCACCCACGACAAAUAAUUAAACUGGAGUACAAUUCAUGGGCAUGCUCCUAUAAUUCCUCACGUGUGCCCACAUUUCUGAGCAACAGUUAUACAUGCCAUGACUAAAGUUAGAAAAGACCUUGGGUAUGCUUUCCUGAGGCACAAAUCCAUACUAUUAAAAAGUGUGGGAGGGGGGGUAUUUAACCUAUAACUGUUGUGAUUACUGUUAAGUAUACUAUUAAGUAUACUAUGAGAUUUUGUUUUUUCUUUUUAAUUUGCGCAGGGGCCAUGCUAAUCUUCUCUGUAAUGUUCCAAUGUUAGUAUUUGUGCUGCCAAAGCACAAUCAUGCAUUAUAUAAAUUUUGUUAAAUAAAACAAACAAAUAUUACUAUGUUUCAGACCCACGCCAAACCUUUUUUUACUUUCUUACAGGCUUUUUAAAUCUGAUCCUUUUCAACUUGGCAUGUUUCAUGCCAGAGGUGGAGACCCUGUCGCCCUCUGGAUGUAACUGAACUCCAACUCCCAUCAGCCCCAGCCAGCACAGCCAAUGGUCAGAGAUGAUGGGAGGUGGAGUCUAGCAACGUCUGGGAGUACCACAGGUGCUCCACCCCUGUUUUAAGCUGUAAUGAUAUACUUUUGGAGGGGUUUUAGUUUUUCUUCAUUUGAGAUUGUUUUAACACUGUUCAGAAUUCUUUGUAUAAAUUACCUGCUAUAUAUCACCCUUCAAAUGUUAGUUAUUGACCAGCUAAUA